GAUGAAGAACGCAGCGAAAUGCGAUACGUAGUGUGAAUUGCAGAAUUCAGUGAAUCAUCGAAUCUUUGAACGCACAUUGCGCCCUUUGGUAUUCCAAAGGGCAUGCCUGUUCGAGCGUCAUUUGUACCUUCAAGCUUUGCUUGGUGUUGGGCGUCUUUUUGUCUCUCCUUUGCGGGAGACUCGCCUUAAAACGAUUGGCAGCCGGCCUACUGGUUUCGGAGCGCAGCACAUUUUUUGCGCUUUGUAUCAGGAGAAAAGGACGGUACUCCAUCAAGACGUUUACAUUUUUCACUUUUGACCUCGGAUCAGGUAGGGAUACCCGCUGAACUUAAGCAUAUCAAUAAGCGGAGGA
rnacentral:misc_RNA from 1 species